CGUAGGGUGCGAGCGUUAAUCGGAAUUACUGGGCGUAAAGUGUGCGCAGGCGGCCGAGCAAGUCGAGUGUGGAAGCCCCGAGCUUAACUUGGGAACUGCGCUCGAAACUACUUGGCUAGAGUGUGGCAGAGGGAGGUGGAAUUCCACGCGUAGCGGUGAAAUGCGUAGAGAUGUGGAGGAACACCGAUGGCGAAGGCAGCCUCCUGGGCCAACACUGACGCUCAUGCACGAAAGCGUGGGGAGCAAACAGGAUUAGAUACCCUGGUAGUCCACGCCCUAAACGAUGAUGACUAGUUGUUGGAGGAGUUAAAUCCUUUAGUAACGCAGCUAACGCGUGAAGUCAUCCGCCUGGGGAGUACGGUCGCAAGAUUA
rnacentral:rRNA from 1 species